rnacentral:rRNA from 1 species
UGCAAGUCGAGCGCGCCCUUCGGGGUGAGCGGCGGACGGGUGAGUAACGCGUGGGAAUAUGCCCUUCUCUAAGGAAUAGCCUCUGGAAACGGAGAGUAAUACCUUAUACGCCCUUUGGGGGAAAGAUUUAUCGGAGAAGGAUUAGCCCGCGUUAGAUUAGGUAGUUGGUGGGGUAAUGGCCUACCAAGCCUACGAUCUAUAGCUGGUUUGAGAGGAUGAUCAGCCACACUGGGACUGAGACACGGCCCAGACUCCUACGGGAGGCAGCAGUAGGGAAUCUUAGACAAUGGGGGCAACCCUGAUCUAGCCAUGCCGCGUGUGUGAUGAAGGCCCUAGGGUCGUAAAGCACUUUCGCCAGAGAUGAUAAUGACAGUAUCUGGUAAAGAAACCCCGGCUAACUCCGUGCCAGCAGCCGCGGUAAUACGGAGGGGGUUAGCGUUGUUCGGAAUUACUGGGCGUAAAGCGCACGUAGGCGGAUUAGUAAGUUAGAGGUGAAAUCCCAGGGCUCAACCCUGGAACUGCCUUUAAUACUGCUAGUCUUGAGUUCGAGAGAGGUAAGUGGAAUUCCGAGUGUAGAGGUGAAAUUCGUAGAUAUUC